AGUAGAAGAUGGACAAAUUAUGAGUAGGAAUAUCUACUUUUGAGCCACUGGUGUAAAGAGGCUCAAGAGUAUUGGCUUGAUUGAGACUGUGCCGAAAAUGAAGGUCCUCGGCAUGAACACUGCUAAGGAUGCUAUUGUUAGGCUCACUAGGGAGGUUGUGCCUGGAAUGAUUGUUAUUGGUAUGGAGGUUGGUGAGAUUGAUGGUGCUUCGAGAAUGGGUCCAACAUUUAUCCUAGCUGCUGCUGAUUCUGUUGAAAUUGCAAUGCUUAAUCAAUGAUACCAUUACUAUAUAGUUUAAUAGUAUCAAAAUUCCCAUGGCCAGAAAUAAUAAUUUGUUGUCAGUAGUAUUGAAUUGAUGAUGGGUUGGUUGAUGUGAUUCUGUUUGAGGUUUUGUUAUUAACAUGAACGAAUUGAUGCUUUUGCCAACUA